AUCUUGCGCAAUGGGCGAAAGCCUGACGCAGCAACGCCGCGUGCGGGAUGACGGCCUUCGGGUUGUAAACCGCUUUCAGUAGGGACGAAACAAGACGGUACCUACAGAAGAAGCCCCGGCCAACUACGUGCCAGCAGCCGCGGUAACACGUAGGGGGCGAGCGUUGUCCGGAUUCAUUGGGCGUAAAGAGCUCGUAGGCGGCUCGGUAAGUCAGGUGUGAAAACUCUGGGCUCAACCCAGAGACGCCACUUGAUACUGCCGUGGCUAGAGUCCAGUAGGGGAGCGUGGAAUUCCCGGUGUAGCGGUGAAAUGCGCAGAUAUCGGGAGGAACACCAGCGGCGAAGGCGGCGCUCUGGGCUGGAACUGACGCUGAGGAGCGAAAGCGUGGGUAGCAAACAGG
rnacentral:rRNA from 1 species